rnacentral:rRNA from 1 species
UACAGAGGGGGCAAGCGUUAUUCGGAAUUAUUGGGCGUAAAGGGCGCGUAGGCGGCUUGGCAAGUGGCUGGUGAAAUCCCUCGGCUUAACCGAGGAACUGCCGUCCAAACUGCUUCGCUUGAGACCGGGAGAGGUGAGUGGAAUUCCCAGUGUAGCGGUGAAAUGCGUAGAUAUUGGGAGGAACACCAGUGGCGAAGGCGGCUCACUGGACCGGUACUGACGCUGAUGCGCGAAAGCGUGGGGAGCAAACGGG